rnacentral:misc_RNA from 1 species
GAUGAAGAACGUAGCGAAAUGCGAUAAGUAAUGUGAAUUGCAGAAUUCAGUGAAUCAUCGAAUCUUUGAACGCACAUUGCGCCCAUUAGUAUUCUAGUGGGCAUGCCUGUUCGAGCGUCAUUAAGUCCACUUAAGCCCUGCUUAGUGUUGGGAGACUGCUCCAGCGGUGCUACCCUGUAGCUACCCUGCGGCUCCUCAAAGACAGCGGCGGAGUUGUGGUAUCCUCUGAGCUUAGUAACUUGUUCUAGCUUUCGAGUACACCACUUCCCCUGCCGUAAAACCCUUAAUUUUUAAUGGUUGACCUCGGAUCAGGUAGGAAUACCCGCUGAACUUAAGCAUAUCAAUAAGCGGAGGA